CUGCUGUUAAAAAGCUCGUAGUUGGAUCAAGAGUCGGACAGUGCAAGGUGGCCCUGUUUGUCCGUCUUGGUUCCGACCAUGGCGGCGGCAGCGGGUUAACCCCUUGCGCCAAACUGUCCGCUCUAACAGGCCGAAACGGUUCCCUGUGAGUAGGUCCUUCACGGGAUCGAAAGCGCCUACGCAUCAACCAUAUGCAUACGGGACGUCGGCCAAUGUUACUGUGAACAAACCAGCGUGUCCAAAGCAGGCUUUCGCCUGAAUGUUCGAGCAUGGAAUAACAAGGGAUCGAUUCUCUCGGUUCUUUUUGUUGGUUUUUAACCCGAGAAGGAGUAAUUCAGGCCACGGUGUCUGAGUUGGGUUCCCCUGCUCUUCGGAGUAGGCCCCAAUUAGGCCGUGUCCUUACGGGAUCAAUAGGGACUGACGGGGUCGUACGUACUCUCGCGUCAGAGGUGAAAUUCUUAGAUCGCGGGAAGACGAACUUCUGCGAAAGCAUUCGACAAGAAUGUCUUC
rnacentral:rRNA from 1 species